UCUCGGCGGCGUGGGCUGGCGGCGGCACCUUGCAUCCUGUGGGGAUGAGAGGUUGCGCGGACUCGGGCCUGGGCCCGUAUGGACCUCCUGGCGCUGGGCCGGUGGCGACGGCGGAGGCCAGAGGAGCUGCAGGUUCCGGGGGACGCGAAACGGGCAUGCAGGAGAUUAGAAGCAGUGGCUCAGGAGCGGGGCUGCCCCCAAGUGAAGGUGCGCGUGCCCGCAUCCUGGGGCAGCAAGGAGCCCGAGUCACCGGAUGCCCAGCCCAGAGGCCACCUCCCUGCACCGAGGCCAGACGGUGGCCAGGGGCGACCAAGCGUGGGGGUUCCUCAGGACUGUGGAAAGAGCUGGGCCCAGCCUUGCCCAAGAUGCAUUGCGGGGGAGUCUGGCAGCACCCGCCUUCCGAGAAACAGGAUGCCAUCGUGGACCGGACUGCUCUGUCCCCCCGCCGCCUGGCCCACCGCUCCCUUCCUGGCCUCAGCCAGCCCAGCAAGCCUUCUGCCACCACGGCGCGGCCUUGGGGGGCAGGGGUGCCCUGCCGGCCUCUGCCAGGGGGCCACGGAGCCACACUGCUCUUUGCCGGGACGGUGGCAAGUGCGAUAAAGGGUUUUGGAUGCUGGACAAGACCUCUCAUUUCAUGGUGGCACAGUGUCUGGCCACGGGUCUGCCCCCAGCCGUCCGGUGCUCCUAGUUACUUCUGCGGGCAAAGGGACAUUUUAACCACAUGGAGAAUUAGUAGAAGAUGCAAGCUGAAAAAGGAAGAUUCCAAUUGCGGUUUCGAACCCUCAUGUGCCAGCGAAUGUAAGCCUCCCCUGGGUGGGUGUGUGUGCCCACCUGUUCAGAUAGCGCCUGGUGCCCUCCCGUCAGGAAAUCCCACCAUCCUCCUCCGCUCCAGAGCCAGAAGAGCCUCCAAAUACUACUCCUCGUGAAGCCUCCUUUCAAAUGCAUCUUUCUUGAGAAGAAGAUCAAUUGCAUUAUUUAAAAGUUUUAAAAAUUCAGUAUCAAACUUCCUGUGAGGUUUGAGAGCCUUGUAGCUUAUGGAGCCAUAUCCAGAUGUAGCCCCACUUUAUACUUUUCUAUUGUUUUGUGGAUGUAUCCAGAGCUGCUUAUGUACUCUUUUUUAAUUAAAAGUCUUAUUUUUAUAUUGAAAAUGCUCUAUAAUCUUAAACUGAAUUUCAGUAAAUGUUAGUAUCCAGUCUGUUCGGUGUGAUUCCCCAGCUCAACUUACCAGGCACAGGACCACCUUUAUGUUAAAAUGGGAAUUUCUCACCUUCUCUUGGGUUUUCAGUGUAUGGCCUGACUGUGGAGACUAGCAUUGUUCCCCUGGGUCUGCAGGCGCCCUGAGAUGCCCUUGUCACCUAGAGGUGGGUCCCGGUGAAACCACUGGGUCGUAGGCUGGCUCUCGGGUCCUUUGCCCGGGCGGGCGCAGCCCCGUGCCCGCUGUGUGGCCGUGUCCUCUGCCGGUGACGGGCUGCAGCAUCCGCGUCCCGGAGAGCCCAACCCGUAAACCAUCUUGUGUAGUCACGGAGCACCUCAUACCGGAAAGACGGGGCAGAAGAAGACACGGGGCAGAAAGGAACUUAGCGCGACCGUCUGUGAUAUGGAUUACCCACAGGCACUGGACUCGCUGCCACGUUCAGGACAGAGAGCUGACUUUUCUGUCCCCGGCGUCUUUGGAGUCGCUAGACAGUUAACCCCGAGCAAGACCGCAGAGCUGUGACUUGAUGAGGAAACGCCAGUCAAGGCCGAGAGAGAAAAGAAAGUAUUGAGAUUUGUGGCCUUAAAAAUACAUCUUUAAAGAGCUUUAAUUUGCUUCUGUCUUUUCCACAUGAGAUACACAUCUUAAUUGUUACGGUAAACGUGAAAAUUCUUAGAUGGCAACAUUUUGUUUUGUGUAUAAGCUCUUCCUUUUCCCCCAAGUUCAUGGGGUGAGGAGGUGACCACAUAUUCACAGCUAGGUGUUUUGGUAAUUGAAGCAGCACAGUGGUGGCCUCAGCCGUUUACAUGGACUGAAAGCUUUCCUUGGGGGGAAGAGCCCCUGUGCAGCACCCUGCCUGGCGCAGGACGGAUGCCCUGGGGUAGAGUCGGGCGGACUUGCGGUCGGGGCUCACCUCCCCUCGCUGCCACCGGCGUCUCGGCCGCAGUCCCUCUG